ensembl:processed_transcript uncharacterized LOC110284069
CUCUUUGUGCACCCGCCCACACGGCUUGCGGACCUUUUUCCCUUCGCUGCUUUCCACCGGUCUCGGCAGGGUCUGAGGACUCCGGAGAGCAAGGCAUGAGUCCGCCUCGUGCCGCAGGUUCCUGGCCCACGCCAGCUGGACCCAGUAGCACCAUGGGAUUUGAGGACACACGCCGGCUGCCUACCCUUGAAGAAAGGUUAGUAUUAGGAUCCACUGGCAUGCUUGUCCCUUGCUUGACUUUUUGGAAGGGGUGGAUUCGAGACAGGGUUUCUUCAUGUAGCCCUGAUCUCAGAUCCGCCUGCCUCUACUUUCUGGAAUUAAAUGCAGGCAGCACCACCGACUGGCCCUUUAUUUGUCCUUAAUAUCCUGCCUGCAUUAGCCAGUCUCCAAGCAAGCCACCACCCAGCCAUCUUUUUGUUUUUAGAUCGUAACUAAGCUUCCUAACUCUAAAUCUAUGGUGGAUCCAGGAGCUGCCUUGAUCAUUUCUUGUGCCUUUAAUUUUUAUAUGCUAAUAGAUUACUCCACGGCUGUGGGUCUCAGCCUUCCUGAGGACCUUUAUUGCAGUUCCUCGGGCUGUGAUGUUCCUAACCAUCAAUUAUUUUAUUUUCCUUGCAUCUUCAUAACUAAAGUUUGCUAUUGAGAUA